AAUUCAGGAGGGGCAUGAAUAAGCGUCUCUCCAAUGAUGGGUCUAGCUAGGGGCCUUUUUUUUUUUUUUUUAAAUUUUAAUAUAUGUACACCCUGAAAGAUUUGAUCCACGAAAUUGUUGCAGGGCAUAUGGUCAGGUAUGCUUAGUGGCACAAUCAUGCAAACCCUAAUCUUGAUUUGGGUCACAUUUCGCACCGAUUGGAAAAAGGAGGUCGAUGAAGCUAGAAAAAGAUUGGAUAAAUGGGAGGAUAAAAAAGAGGCUGUUUUGAUGUAGGAAGUUUGAUCCCAACUAUGGGAAAUCUAAAAGCGUAUCUCCAUGUUGAAACCUAUAGAAUUUGAUAACAUCCAGCAUCUGCUAGUCUAUUUGAAACAAAUAACAACGCUACCUAUUUCUAUUUUUCUUGGCACCUGUGCUUCUCUUUCAUAAAUACUAUAUCGAUCUAUAUGCUGAGUUACAAGCAUCUAGAGUGAGGGUCAAACACAGGUAAUAAUAAAAUUUUCUAAGUUUUUCAUAUCUUCAUAUCA